AGCAGUCGCCGCGGUAAUACGUAGGUCCCGAGCGUUGUCCGGAUUUAUUGGGCGUAAAGCGAGCGCAGGCGGUUAGAUAAGUCUGAAGUUAAAGGCUGAGGCUUAACCAUAGUACGCUUUGGAAACUGUUUAACUUGAGUGCGAGUGGGGAGAGUGGAAUUCCAUGUGUAGCGGUGAAAUGCGUAGAUAUAUGGAGGAACACCGGUGGCGAAAGCGGCUCUCUGGCUUGUAACUGACGCUGAGGCUCGAAAGCGUGGGGAGCAAACAGGAUUAGAUACCCCCGUAGUCCCUGUCUCUUAUACA
rnacentral:rRNA from 1 species